AGCAGCCGCGGUAAUUCCAGCUCCAAUAGCGUAUAUUAAAGUUGUUGCAGUUAAAAAGCUCGUAGUUGAAUUUCGGGGUCAAUAGGUUGGUCGUGCCAAUGGUAUGUACUGGCUUUAUUGAUUCCUACCUCUUGACGAACUGUGAUGCCAUUAAUUUGGUGUUGCAGGAAAUCAGGACUGUUACCUUGAAAAAUUAGAGUGUUUAAAGCAGGCUUACGCUUGAAUACAUUAGCAUGGAAUAAUGAAAUAGGACGUUUGAACCUAUUUUGUUGGUUUCUAGGAUCGACGUAAUGAUUAAUAGGGAUAGUUGGGGGCAUUAGUAUUCAAUUGUCAGAGGUGAAAUUCUUGGAUUUAUUGAAGACUAACUACUGCGAAAGCAUUUGCCAAGGAUGUUUUCAUUAAUCAAGAACGAAAGUUAGGGGAUCGAAGACGAUCAGAUACCGUCGUAGU
rnacentral:rRNA from 1 species